rnacentral:lncRNA from 1 species
AUGCGUUUGUGUGUGUGUGUGUGUGUGUGUGUGUGUGUGUGUGUGUGUGUGUGUGCACGCACAUAUGUCAGAAGGUCAAUCCAAGCAAGAGGAAAUUCAACAUCUGGGUGUGUGAUUCUUGUUCCCGUAAGUGAGAACCCCAGGUUGCCUCUCUUCAUCAUCUUGACAGCUUGCUUUCAGAAUGUGUUCCAGGCUUUAGAGCCUGGUCAUGUAUUAUUAGUUUUAUUUAGCGAUGUAAUCUCGACAUUGCUGCUGAGUUCAGAAGGGUUGACUGCAUGAGACUUCCGAAUGAUUCAUGUUUCGCAUUCGGCCAUGCAUGUGAUGGAAGGUUUAGGGAAGUCACAGAGAUGACAGCUGAACUAAUCACCCUCAUAUGCUUCAUCAGCAGGCUGUCUGAACAAGAGCCAGACCAAACACUCAGAGCCGAACACUGUAGAGUUACAGUCAUGUGAAAAAAACUGAAUGAGAACCUUUAAAAAGCUUUGUCUUAAGCAUUGCCAAAUAGCAUCACAGCACAAUCGGAGGAAGGUGUAGCGACUCGGUUCUGAUACAUCAGCUCACAGACGCUUUUUGCUGAGCGACAUCACCCUUUGGAGUGAUGUUGGGAGAGAGCAAUUGUGCUCCCUCAGGGCUCCGGCAGCUGAUGGCAAGCUACAUGAAUGGGAUUCGAACCAGCGAUCUUCCGAUCUUAGUGGCAGCAUUUAGCCCCCUAGACCAUUUGGACACCAAAACACAGUGUUUCUUACAUUAAAUUUAUGUUUGUUUUUUGGAUCAACCAUAUUUUAUUUAAUAAUAUAUAUCCAUUUCUGCAUUUUAGGCCUGCAACACAUUCUGAAAUAGUUGGUACAGUAAAGAAUUUACCAUGUGUUGUAUCAUUUUAAAGUUACCAUUUCUUCUCAAAACACUUUUUGUCAGUAAGUCUUUCAGGUGUUUUUGUCCUGUUCUUCCUGCAAACAUAUCUUUCGAUGUACAACAGGAUUUGAGGAUCACUGUUGUUGCAUUUCUUCAUUUCAGAAUUCUCUACACAUUCUCUAUUGGGGCAGGCCAGGACUUCAGACAGGCCUCAGCGCUACCUUUGAAAUGUAGUUUUUAAUACCGUCUUGCUAAAAAAAUGCAUUGGCAUUCCUGGAAAAGAUGUUGUCUUUAGGACAGAAUAUGCUGCGUUAUUUUUGCCAUCACAGACGUGUGCUGACACAACCCCAUACCAUAACAAACCCUGAACCAUUUAUUUUGGACUUUUUUUCUCUUUCUGUUGUUUUCAUUCUAGAGGAAUCUCCAGAAAUAAUUUAUCCAUGAGUUAUAUUUUUAGGGAGGAAAAAGAAUCACACCACUAUUUAGGAGAUUUUUUCUUUGGGAACUGGAUUUUUCUUUGGAUUUGAUAACAAGCUGAUUAUUUGAAUUACUACUGCUUUUUGUGAAGGCACUAACAAAAGUGAUCUAUAUAAUGAGACAGCAAAGAAAAAAACAAGUUUUUUAGUUUGUUUACAACAGGAAUGUCAGAGAAUAGUAAGAAUAUAAACAGCCAAACAUACUUCUUUGCACAUGUAUUUAUUUUUAUUUAUGACCCACAUGUACAUCUCACUGGACGAAGAUAUGUCUGAUUACAUUAUAUUAAAAAUUAAAAUAAAUAAAUAAUAAGGUAUGGUAUGGAAUGGUGU